UAUUAUAAAGAUGAUAGACAAGAUGAACAUUGACAAACUCUCUGAUUUUCGCAAUGCAGCAAUCAGCUGAAUGCAAGCUGACAUGACAUCUCUGUUUGGAACUAUAACUUACCAGUCAAAUCAAUCUUCGAGUAUCUUCUUGGGCAAGCCUUUUUCCGCAAAGUUUCAAGGAGGAAGUACAUAGAGCCAACUCAAAGAUUAUAGGUUAUGUUUCUUCCUUCAGUGCACACAAAUAGUCACAGAAGCCGGAUUCUGUGUUUCCCUCCUAAGGUAUGCAUUGAGCUUUCAUUCAGCCUCUGAUGCCAUUUUCCGAAGCUCAAAUAGUGUAGAAUGAAAAGCAAGUGAGCUAGAGGUCUGUACUGUCAAUUUUUUAGUUUCUUACUAACUCUGGUUGCAAAUUAUCUUCUCAAAGUUGAGGUAAUGUGCAAAAGAGACUGAUAGAUGUUAGUGACAACUGGUAGUGGAUGUAAUAGAAAUGGUAGAUGAUCAUUACAAGAGACAAACUAGACCAUCG